rnacentral:rRNA from 1 species
GAUGAACGCUAGCGGCAGGCCUAAUACAUGCCAGUCGGACGGGAUUCAGGAGCUUGCUUCUGAUGAGAGUGGCGCACGGGUGCGUAACACGUAUGUAACCUACCUUUAUCAGGGGGAUAGCCUCUCGAAAGAGAGAUUAAGCCCGCAUAAAAUCACAGCACAGCAUUGUGUAAUGAUCAAAUAUUUAUAGGAUAAAGAUGGGCAUGCGGAACAUUAGCUAGAUGGCGGGGUAACGGCCCACCAUGGCGACGAUGUUUAGGGGAUCUGAGAGGAUGGCCCCCCACACUGGUACUGAGACACGGACCAGACGCCUACGGGAGGCAGCAGUAAGGAAUAUUGGUCAAUGGGCGGAAGCCUGAACCAGCCAUGCCGCGUGCAGGAAGACGGCCCUACGGGUUGUAAACUGCUUUUAUACGGGAAUAAACCCAGAUACGUGUAUCUGGCUGAAUGUACUGUAAGAAUAAGGAUCGGCUAACUCCGUG